rnacentral:sRNA from 1 species
AAACCGGUUAAACCGGUUAAACCGGUUAACCGGUUAAACCGGUUAAACCGGUUAACCGGUUAACCG